rnacentral:misc_RNA from 1 species
AUCGUCAUCGUCAUUAUUUUAAAUUGCAGAAGUAGAACAUAUGAGUCCUUCGAUUACUACAAACUAUACAGUUAAUAACAUUAGUAAUUAUCUCCCUUAUUCCUAAUUUUAGUUAUAACAUUUUAGUCCAUCGCUAUUCUUCCAUUAUUUUACUGUUAAAAACAAUGUCGUUCUUCCACUUAGGUUAUUCUAACAUAAACUUGAUGCAAUGAUACAUACAUGUUGAUUACAUAUGUGUAUAUCAUGAGAGCAAUCUUUCCAGAAAAAAAAUUAAUAGUACGUCAAUUAUAAUAAUCUUUAUGAAUGGAAAGAAAAUAUAUUCAAUAAAAAAUGACUUUAAAAACAUACGUUACAUACAUUCCUUCGCAUUCGUUAUAUCGCUCCUACUUUCACUCUUGCGCGCGCGUUCUCUCUAUACUCUUUCUUCCACGAAAUGUAAAUCGCAAAAAUCCAUUCACACUGCAUUUUGCUCGCGUAUUUGCACUUACAGCUAUCGAAAUAGUUCAUAUUUCUCUUAUUAUCAUAGAAAAGUUCAGCCACUUGUUACAAACUCAUUACGGAAAAUCUCUUCGUCCAUACAAACCAAAGCAUUAAUAUUGCACAGUUCUUUUGCACUUAGAGUAGUACGAUUUGUAUCCUGUUACUAAUUUCCAAAUUUUCAAAACUUUCGUACAAUCCACAUAACAUAUCCACACAAAUUUUCUAAGUGUACGAAUGCUACAUAUGCGUUUGUUGAAAUAUCCCUGUUAAAACUAUGGAUGUGUUUGAAACAAAGAAAUCUGUCACUCGCACUCGUUUGAAAACGCGUUCAAAAAUUCCAUACGAAAAAUUCUUUCUUCUGUGGUUGGAACUUUCCUUUAAAAUCUCGAUAAUUUUCGGGUUUUUCCGUUUUUAUAAUAAUCGUUGAACGUGACAGUUGAUCUAAUCAUAUGGCCCAUCUGAAGUUGUUUCGA